rnacentral:rRNA from 1 species
AGCGAACGCUGGCGGCAGGCUUAACACAUGCAAGUCGAGCGGGCAUCCUUGUGGUGUCAGCGGCAGACGGGUGAGUAACGCGUGGGAACGUGCCCUUCGGUUCGGAAUAACUCAGGGAAACUUGAGCUAAUACCGGAUACGUGCGAGAGCAGAAAGGUUUAUCUGCCGAAGGAUCGGCCCGCGUCUGAUUAGCUAGUUGGUGAGGUUACGGCUCACCAAGGCGACGAUCAGUAGCUGGUCUGAGAGGAUGAUCAGCCACACUGGGACUGAGACACGGCCCAGACUCCUACGGGAGGCAGCAGUGGGGAAUAUUGGACAAUGGGGGCAACCCUGAUCCAGCCAUGCCGCGUGAGUGAUGACGGCCUUAGGGUUGUAAAGCUCUUUUCUUCGGGACGAUAAUGACGGUACCGGAGGAAUAAGCCCCGGCUAACUUCGUG